CAGGCCUAACACAUGCAAGUCGAGCGGAUGAGAAGAGCUUGCUCUUCGAUUCAGCGGCGGACGGGUGAGUAAUGCCUAGGAAUCUGCCUGGUAGUGGGGGACAACGUUUCGAAAGGAACGCUAAUACCGCAUACGUCCUACGGGAGAAAGCAGGGGACCUUCGGGCCUUGCGCUAUCAGAUGAGCCUAGGUCGGAUUAGCUAGUUGGUGAGGUAAUGGCUCACCAAGGCGACGAUCCGUAACUGGUCUGAGAGGAUGAUCAGUCACACUGGAACUGAGACACGGUCCAGACUCCUACGGGAGGCAGCAGUGGGGAAUAUUGGACAAUGGGCGAAAGCCUGAUCCAGCCAUGCCGCGUGUGUGAAGAAGGUCUUCGGAUUGUAAAGCACUUUAAGUUGGGAGGAAGGGCAUUAACCUAAUACGUUAGUGUUUUGACGUUACCGACAGAAUAAGCACCGGCUAACUCUGUGCCAGCAGCCGCGGUAAUACAGAGGGUGCAGGCGUUAAUCGGAAUUACUGGGCGUAAAGCGCGCGUAGGUGGUUUGUUAAGUUGGAUGUGAAAGCCCCGGGCUCAACCUGGGAACUGCAUCCAAAACUGGCAAGCUAGAGUACGGUAGAGGGUGGUGGAAUUUCCUGUGUAGCGGUGAAAUGCGUAGAUAUAGGAAGGAACACCAGUGGCGAAGGCGACCACCUGGACUGAUACUGACACUGAGGUGCGAAAGCGUGGGGAGCAAACAGGAUU
rnacentral:rRNA from 1 species